rnacentral:rRNA from 1 species
UAAACAUUGAUAUUUAUUACACCCACUAUCCGCCCGGGUACUACGAGCAUGAGCUUAAAACCCAAAGGACUUGGCGGUGCUUAAGAUCCCCCUAGAGGAGCCUGUUCUAGAACCGAUAAUCCCCGUUCAACCUCACCCUCUUUUGUUUUUCCCGCCUAUAUACCGCCGUCGUCAGCUUACCCCAUGAGGGGCUAAUAGUGAGCAAAAAUGGCACAGCCUAAAACGUCAGGUCGAGGUGUAGCAUAUGAGAGGGGAAGAAAUGGGCUACAUUCUCUAAAAUAGAGAAUACGGAUAAUAUAUUGAAAUAUAUAUUUUAAGGAGGAUUUAGUAGUAAGUAAAAAUCAGAGUGUUUAACUGAACUAGGCCCUAAAGCGUGC